AAGUCUUCAGCUCUCAUAUUCUUUUUGUGGUUUAUUUAUUUAUACACUCAGAGAGAGGACUGGUUAGCUUAGGCCAUCGGAGUAUCUGUUUGAUUGAUGUGAUGAAUUUCAAUUUUGCCUUGGAGUAUUUAUUUAUUGAGCUUUACCUGUCUUUUUCUCAGGUUCUCUUGGUAGUCGGAAUUUUGCAAGGUGAAGUUGGUCCUAUGAUUUCUGUCAUGAAAAUUGAAAUGACACGUUUGGAGUCUUGUUCUGAUGUCGGUGGUUUACAUGUUCCAAUUCAAGAUAUUAAAGAAGCAGUUGAACUUCCCGAGGGAAAGCUCUACUUGCAAAGCUCGGAAGGUGGAUUAGCUGGGGGAGGAACCAAGAAGCUUUAGGCCCAAGAACUUCGUGUGGACCAUGACCUCCUCAGUGUUGCCAAGCAGCACAACAUUCUCCACUGGUAGGCAUUCGUUGACGAGAAGCUUGGCCAAACCCAGUAGGUAUGCGUGGAAUUAUUGAGCUCAGGUUUUUUGGGAUUAAGAUUCUUACACCAAAGGAUCACUAUAUACCAAGACUUCGAGGAUGAUAAGAGCGGAAGAUUUGGAUUUAAUUGUUAGGCUCGAUGGCUCAAAAUAUGACAAGGAAUCAACUGAAAGAGGAACAUGUAUGAAUCGUACGGAAGAACUACUAUAUGCUAUUAAGAAUAAUUCGGUGUCUAAGAAACAUGGCGAUAUUAUAAUAAUCUUUCGGAUCCAUAUGUAUUUCAUUACUAGAUACAUCCGUUUGGCAUAAGUUUAUUUUCAUUCUAAACCUAAUAAUAUCUCCAUGCUUUUAGAGGUUAUUUAGCUAAUACUUCCUCCGUCCGGUAAUACUUGUCAGAGAAAUGGAUGUAUCUAGACAUAUUUUGGCUCAUUGGUGGCAUGUACUCCCGCUGUUCCUAAAUAUAAGUUUUUCUAGAGAUUCCACCAAAUGACUA